rnacentral:rRNA from 1 species
AACGAACGCUGGCGGUAUCCGCUUAACACAUGCAAGUCGAACGAAUGAGAAUUUAGCUUGCUAAAUUCAAGUUAGUGGCAAACGGGUGAGUAACACGUGGGAAUCUACCCAGUAGUACGGAAUAACAGUUGGAAACGACUGCUAAUACCGUAUAGUAUCGAGAGAUUAAAGAUUUAUCGCUACUGGAUGAGCCCGCGUCAGAUUAGGUAGUUGGUGGGGUAAUGGCCUACCAAGCCAAAGAUCUGUAGCUGGUCUGAGAGGAUGACCAGCCACACUGGAACUGAGACACGGUCCAGACUCCUACGGGAGGCAGCAGUAAGGAAUAUUGGUCAAUGCCCGCAAGGGUGAACCAGCCAUUCCGCGUGGAGGAUGAAGGCCCUAUGGGUUGUAAACUUCUUUUAGAUGGGAAGAAAAUGCUAGAUGUAUCUGGUACUGACGGUACCAUCAGAAUAAGCACCGGCUAACUCCGUGCCAGCAGCCGCGGUAAUUGCGAC